rnacentral:rRNA from 1 species
UUGGGUUAAGUCCCGCAACGAGCGCAACCCACGUUUUUAGUUGCCAGCAUUGAGUUGGGCACUCUAGAGAGACUGCCGGUGACAAACCGGAGGAAGGUGUGGAUGACGUCAAGUCAGCAUGCCCCUUACAUUCUGGGCUACACACGUACUACAAUGCCACGGACAGAGGGUUGCGAGCCAGCGAUGGUGAGCUAAUCUCGUAAACCGUGGCUCAGUUCAGAUUGCAGGCUGCAACUCGCCUGCAUGAAGGCGGAAUCGCUAGUAAUCGCCGGUCAGCAUACGGCGGUGAAUACGUUCCCGGGCCUUGUACACACCGCCCGUCACACCAUGGGAGUUGGCCAUGCCCGAAGUCGUUACUCCAACCAUGCGUGGAGGGGGACGCCGAAGGCGGGGCUGAUGACUGGGGUGAAGUCGUAACAAGGUAGCCGUACCGGAAGGUGUGGCUGGAUCACC